UUCCGCCGCUCAUCUAUUCUCACUUCUCACCUAAAAAAGCUCUCGCAUCUCUGUCUCUCACCAUCGCCGCUCAGUUCCGUUCAUCGCUCAGUCUUCUCCGUCUGGGCCUCUCCACCCGUGGCUUGUCAUCGACAUAAUAUACGGAAGAUAUUUCCUCUCUUUCUCUCCCUCUUGGAUCAGAAGCCAAAUGCUUCGUUUACUCGCAAAGCGUCAGUGAACUACACAAAGACACCUUCUCGUGAAUCUUUGUAAAACAAGAGGUAAAAUAGCUCACUUCUUGACUUCCGCGGAUCAAAUUUCUGUUGUCCAGCAACACAAACAGAAGACAGAAGACAGGGAAAGAUGAAGAACAAAAGCAGCUAAUUAAAUAAUGUUGUACACAGCCAGAAGAAACUGAGUAACACCAAGUGAAUCCCCCUCUUCUACCUCAGUGCCUCUGAUGUUGAUAAUUUAAACAAUCCAUUGGCUGUAGACAACAAUCCUUAGCUAAAGCCUUGUAACCCAGCUGUUGGUGGGCUUGCAAAGUCACAGCUCGUACCUGAAGUGGACGCAUUAGGUGGUGAAAUUGGAAAGGUAGCUGACAGCUUUGGAUUUCUUUUUCUUGCUCCUUUGUGGAAGCUUGGCUGGGUGCUGUAUCAACAUCCAUAGACUCAUCUACAUCUCCAGUAGAGACUAAAGAGCAAGAUCAAGGAUCUAGAGUCAGAAAAUGAGCUUCUCCACACUCAAAGAGUAGUUGUAGAGCAUGUAGCAAACUCAAACCAAGCAGAUUCAGCAUUAAAGCAAAUUGAAAACCGAUACCAAGUUCAUGAAGAUGUGAAGACAGAGGAAGUACAACAAGUGACAAAAGUGGAGCAACAAAUAAUAAAGAUAGGCAGCAUGCAAGUAGUAGAAACAUAUGAGAAGAAGAAAGAAGAAAGUAGCACAAAAGAUAUCUAAGCUGCCUAAUAGUGAAAAUGCCUAAUCUGCAGA